GUUCACUCACAGAUGUGUAUUGGAAAUCAGUUAUUUGGUCACUGCCUUAUUUUACUGGCAAACGGCAAUAAAAACAAAGCCUCACACGAUUGGAGCUUGCUGCAGGUCAUAUCUCAGUGACGCAAAAGGUGAAGACAAACAAUAACAACAGGAAAUGAGGCACCUGGAGAACACGUCCAUGGACAAAGUGUGUCCACACAGAUUAAGACAAGAGAAAAGGGACGGGAAAGUCGCCAGGAUUCUGAUGUCCUACUUCUGUGUGUGCGAUGGAAAGAGAAACAGAAUUUGGUAAAACUACAAAUCAGUUUCUAUGAAGGCGUAUUAGCGAUACACCGCUGUUUGGUCACAGGGGUGUACAAAGUACAGCCUGCAGCUAGUUUUUUAUUGGCCCGAGGCAUAUUCUAAAAUUUCUUAAAGUAAACAACAAAAGAUUAACAACAAGAGGAAAAAAGAGCAAAAAGGUAAAGUUAGCUUUUGGCCUUUUGUCUUUUAUACAUAGGGUGAACAGUUUUGGUCGCAGUAUUGACCCCUGGGGU